CCGCAAGGUUAAAACUCAAAUGAAUUGACGGGGGGCCCGCACAAGCGGGUGAGCAUGUGGUUUAAUUUNGAAGCAACGCGAAGAACCUUACCUGGCCUUGACAUGCUGAGAACUUUCCAGAGAUGGAUUGGUGCCUUCGGGAGCUCAGACACAGGUGCUGCAUGGCUUGUCGUCAGCUCGUGUCGUGAGAUGUUGGGUUAAGUCCCGUAACGAGCGCAACCCUUGUCCUUAGUUACCAGCACGUUAUGGUGGGCACUCUAAGGAGACUGCCGGUGACAAACCGGAGGAAGGUGGGGAUGACGUCAAGUCAUCAUGGCCCUUACGGCCAGGGCUACACACGUGCUACAAUGGUCGGUACAAAGGGUUGCCAAGCCGCGAGGUGGAGCUAAUCCCAUAAAACCGAUCGUAGUCCGGAUCGCAGUCUGCAACUCGACUGCGUGAAGUCGGAAUCGCUAGUAAUCGUGAAUCAGAAUGUCACGGUGAAUACGUUCCCGGGCCUUGUACACACCGCCCGUCACACCAUGGGAGUGGGUUGCACCANAAGUAGCUAGUCUAACCGCAAGGGGGACGGUUACCACGGUGUGAUUCAUGACUGGGGUG
rnacentral:rRNA from 1 species